rnacentral:rRNA from 1 species
GACGAACGCUGGCGGCGUGCUUAACACAUGCAAGUCGAACGAAGUGGCGAACGGGUGAGUAAUACGUGGGUAACCUGCCCCCCUUUUUGGGAUAAGCCUUGGAAACGGGGUCUAAUACCGAAUAAAGGGGGAUGGGCUCGCGGCCUAUCAGCUUGUUGGGGGGGUGAUGGCCUACCAAGGCGGUGCCGGGUAGCCGGCCUGGGAGGGUGACCGGUCACAUGGGGACUGCGAUCCGGCCCAGAGUCCGACGGGAGGCAGCUGUGGGGGAUAUUGCACAAUGGGCUAACGCCUGAUGCAGCGACGCCGAGUGGGGGAUGAAGGCUUUAGGGUUGUAAACCUCUUUCGCUCUCGAACGGGUAGUUGGAGAAGAAGCGCCGGCUAACUACGUGCCAGCAGCCGCGGUAAUUC